GCUUCUCUUGAGAGCGGCGGACGGGUGAGUAAUGCCUAGGAAUCUGCCUGGUAGUGGGGGAUAACGUUCGGAAACGGACGCUAAUACCGCAUACGUCCUACGGGAGAAAGCAGGGGACCUUCGGGCCUUGCGCUAUCAGAUGAGCCUAGGUCGGAUUAGCUAGUUGGUGAGGUAAUGGCUCACCAAGGCGACGAUCCGUAACUGGUCUGAGAGGAUGAUCAGUCACACUGGAACUGAGACACGGUCCAGACUCCUACGGGAGGCAGCAGUGGGGAAUAUUGGACAAUGGGCGAAAGCCUGAUCCAGCCAUGCCGCGUGUGUGAAGAAGGUCUUCGGAUUGUAAAGCACUUUAAGUUGGGAGGAAGGGCAUUAACCUAAUACGUUAGUGUUUUGACGUUACCGACAGAAUAAGCACCGGCUAACUCUGUGCCAGCAGCG
rnacentral:rRNA from 1 species